rnacentral:lncRNA from 1 species
GUGUGCUUUGAAGAAGGACAUCUAAUCGGAGUAGGAGAAUGCAUUCUAGGUGGACUUUCUCUAUACAUGUUGCAGUGUUUCAAGCAUAUCUCUCACUAUAGAAGUCCAAAUGAUGUGAUCUUGGAUCAUUAAAAAGCUAUACGGCCAAGCUACAACUUUCAUGUUAACCACUUUUCAUAGUUCUACUUGGAAGGGGAUCAAAAAUCAUGUUGAAGUCAAUACACUGCAAUAAGACAUGAUUGCUCAAGUUAAUGGCCUUAAUGUUGAGGCCACUAAGGGACCAGUGCUACGGCACCCCGACUACUCAACUUCGCCUCAGCCUUGAAUAUCAUCAGCAUUGUAUUGCCUAAGCAUUCAUGGUCGCAUUGAAGAGGAAGUUAGAAAAAAUUUACCUUUGAAGAGUUUAUGAGAGGAAAAGACUUAUGGGACACUUGAACUUCUAUUUAGACACAAUUGAGAGCCUAUUUAAGCAUCCUUUUAGAGCAUGUACAACAAACAAUAAAGGGAGAAUUAAGAAACAAUUAAGCUAGAAUUUUCUAAAGAAAAAUGAGCAUUAAAGCUAGCAAGGAAGCAAAGAAAAUAAGGAAGAUUGUAUAUCAAAAGCGUGAUAAAUAUUAGAGUUAUUUCUUUUCUUGUUAUCUUUUUACUUCCUUAUUUAGUUUUGA